AGAGAACGUUUGCCUCACCAUUCCUGUUAUGGACAGAAGAGACUUGAUUAACAUCGCUCAGCAGCCAGGGACAGAGAUGAAAUUAGGCUCUGAAAUUAAGCAUGGUGGUGCAACAUUGACAUGGGCUACAGAGGAAGGCUAUGAAAUCUCCAUCUUCAGUGGUUUUCAACACUUGGCUAGACAAAUAUGUAUGUGGCCUUAUCUAAUGUUGGUGAUGGUAUCGUUUCUAAGCAGAAUUUUAGAUGAGGUGACCUCCAGAAGUCCUUUUUAAUCAACUUUUAAUUGAUUCUACAUUCUUCUCAACGAACUAGUGAACAGCCGCUGGGCUUCCUGAAAUGGUGGAAUUUUAAGAGGAGAAGAUAUGGGUAAGGCUUGCUUUAAGGCAAGUCCUAAAGUUCUUCAGAGCCAUAAAUAUGGACAAAUAUGUUUUAAAUAAAACUGGUGCUCUAA